UUCAGUUAUCGGAAGAUUAUUCUACAAAUACAUCAUGAUUAAUACGAUGCUAUCGCCGUUUAAACGAUGGAAUUUUGUGUUUAUAUGUGCUGACGUCAUGUGCAAAGAAAUCAAAUGGCGAGGCGGCGACCUAAUUCAAGUGAUGCUCCAUUUGUCGGUGUUAGGGUUGUUUAAACGGUGAUAGCAUCGUAUUAAUCAUGAUGUAUUUGUAGAAUAAUCUUCCGAUAACUGAAUUCUCACGUCUUGGAAGAUAGAUCCGCGAAAUAAAGUUGUAAGAGGUAGGUAAAGCAGCGACACCAGCUGGUGUCGCUGAAUUCCCACUUUUCAAUAUGGAGUCCGCUCUGACUCUCCCCCGCACAUGUCAAAUAUAAAAGCGGGGGUAAGAGUCAGAGGAAUCUCGGAUUAACACAGUAUAAGCCAGUCCAGCACAUAAUACUGCUCUCAUCACGUGACAUAGAUACGGGGAUGAUCGGGUGCUUAUGGAUGAUGGUAGAUCACUGGUAGGGGAUCCUUUGUCUGGAAUUGAUGACUGUGCAGAACCAAAGGAAGCAACGGAAGAUAUGUCAGAGAAUCAAACGGAACCAACGCAGAUUGAGCAACCUCAGCCAGAAUACAGGAGGUCCACCAGAUCUAGAAAGCCACCAGAUCGUUACGGUGAAUGGGUGGAAUGAUGUGAAAAAUGAACAUUUUGCGAAGUAAUGACAUGAUGUCGGAACUAUUUUAAAAAAAAUCUUAUUAUCUUGAUCACAAUGAUAUGACCGAAUAAAGUGUGCUUGAAUAUGUAGCUCAU